rnacentral:lncRNA from 1 species
CGGGAUCAUCAUGCUGUCAUUUGCUCACAGCCUGCAGAUAGUCCUGGGUCCUCAGACGCCUGGAGGAUAAGCAGGAGCAAACUCCAGAUCCACAUCUCUAGAGGCCAUUGUAAAGGAAGUAAAACUACUCAGUCUGAAGUCACCGUCUUAAGGUAUGUCCUUUCAAGCACAUUCAAGUUUGAGGAGUUUGUCUAUAGUCAUAUCCUGUUUCAUGUGGAUGUAUGCACAUGUAUGCCACUUUUUAAAGGAAAUUCUUUGUGGGUAUUCUAUAAAACUUCAAGUCUGGGAAAGAGCCUGCCUGAUCCAAUAGGAUCAAAAGGAAGAAUAAAAUAGUUCCUUUUCGAAGUCAAGUGCUCAUUUUGUUGAAGAAUGUAAUGUAUGGACUA